CAAGUGACCCCGGUCUAACCACCGGGAUGUUCAUAACCCUUUGUUGUCCGACUCUGUUGCCUCCGGGGCGACCCUGCCUUCGGGGCGGGGGCUCCGGGUGGACACUUCAAACUCUUGCGUAACUUUGCAGUCUGAGUAAACUUAAUUAAUAAAUUA
rnacentral:misc_RNA from 1 species